GUAUUUUUCAAUUGCGUGUUCUUCAGCAAACGAAGGUCGCCAACGAUUGAAUUUAGGGUUUCAGAAUGAUUGAAGGUCGCCAACGAUCGGCCACUUGCUUCUGAAGAGGUCAAUCCAAUUCGUCGGUUGUCUAGGCUAACCAAAGAGGAAGAGCUGGCAUGGAUACGGCGACGAAGAGGGGGAUCUGGUGGCCGGGCAGAAGUACUUUGAGCGCCACAUGCACAGUGGCCGGAACGGUUCAAGAAAGCCUGUGGAAAUUGAGAGAGAAAUAUUAGCGGGGGACUUUUCUAUCAGCACAGCUGGAGGAAAGCUCACCCCGCCUUUGUGCGUUCACUGUACAGCCUGGACAAGAUAAAGAGGGCACUGUAAAGAUGGUUAAGUUACUCAAAACAGAGUGGUCGAGCCACCUGUGUUCUCUCUGCUAGUGAUCCAGGUUCUUUUGUUGAUUUGUGACCAGAUAGUUCCUUCGGCGCUGUUACCUUAAGAUACGAGGC